rnacentral:rRNA from 1 species
GGCGACGGGUGAGUAACACGUGGAUAACCUACCUAUAAGACUGGGAUAACUUCGGGAAACCGGAGCUAAUACCGGAUAAUAUAUUGAACCGCAUGGUUCAAUAGUGAAAGACGGUUUUGCUGUCACUUAUAGAUGGAUCCGCGCCGCAUUAGCUAGUUGGUAAGGUAACGGCUUACCAAGGCAACGAUGCGUAGCCGACCUGAGAGGGUGAUCGGCCACACUGGAACUGAGACACGGUCCAG